rnacentral:rRNA from 1 species
UCUCGCGUCCCAUUAGUUAGUUGGUGAGGUAACGGCUCACCAAGACUGCGAUGGGUAGCCGGCCUGAGAGGGUGAACGGCCACACUGGAACUGAGACACGGUCCAGACUCCUACGGGAGGCAGCAGUGGGGAAUAUUGCACAAUGGAGGAAACUCUGAUGCAGCGACGCCGCGUGAACGAUGAAGGCUUUCGGGUCGUAAAGUUCUGUCCUAGGGGACGAUAAUGACGGUACCCUAGGAGGAAGCCCCGGCUAACUACGUGCCAGCAGCCGCGGUAAUACGUAGGGGGCGAGCGUUGUCCGGAUUUAUUGGGCGUAAAGGGUUCGCAGGCGGUCUCUUAAGUUAGAUGUGAAAGAUCACGGCUCAACCGUGGUAAGCAUUUAAAACUGGGAGACUUGAGUUAAGGAGAGGAAAGUGGAAUUCCUAGUGUAGCGGUGAAAUGCGUAGAUAUUAGGAGGAAUACCAGUGGCGAAGGCGACUUUCUGGACUUAUACUGACGCUGAGGAACGAAAGCGUGGGGAGCAAACAGGAUUAGAUACCCUGGUAGUCCACGCCGUAAACGAUGAGUGCUAGGUGUCGGGGGUCAAACCUCGGUGCCGCAGCUAACGCA